CUUGCGUCGCGUCUCUUCGUCGCAUGAGUUUCAGUCACAUCCAAUUCGAAUCAAUUCAACAAUGGCCGCCGUGACUUCACCUUCCUCCAGAAACCAGACGCUGUCCUCCUCGUGCUCCUUUUCCUACCCCUUCGCUUCAUACACCUCCGGCAAUUUUGCUCCCGAGCCUCCCCUUCGUCCCCACACGCUUCUCCUCCUCAUUUGGCCACCAUCGGCAUUUUUCUUCAACCUCUUUGCCACCGUGUCCAACAUCGUCAUCCGUGAGAUUCUCCUCGGAGCAACCACCAAGCUCCCCCGGACAACACUCCACGGCUAUAAAGAGGUUCAACUAGACCCCACAUCUUCAUGGGCUUUACUACGCAAGGAUUUUGCUGCACCAUCAAAAUACACUGGUAUAUUUCAAGCAUCUAAAGAUAUUUUCAGACAAGAAGGUUUUCAGAGUUUUUAGCGGGGGAAUGUACCGGCAUUGCUUAUGGUUAUGCGAUAUACAGCUAUACAGUUUAGAGUUUUACAUAAGUUGAAAACUCUUGCCUCUGGUUCUUCCAAGUCAGAGGAUCACAGUAGUUUGAGCCCUUAUCUGUCCUAUGUCAGUGGGGGCAUUAGCUGGAUGUGCAGCUACAAUAGGGUCUUACCCGUUUGAUCUUCUCCGAACCAUAUUAGCUUCUUAGGAGGAGCCAAAGAUAUAGGAAACAAGCAAGGGAGCAGCUAGCUGCUAUAUAUAUGAAGAAUGUUGAUGAGGGAGAAUUAGUUGCAGCAUACAAGUGAAAUGGGAGCUGUUUCUUCAAUGCUUCUAAUUCUUUUGAUAUUGUGCAGUUCUGGUUUUGGUGGCAUAGCGUUUGGUUUGUUGAAUUUCAGCAGCAACAGCAGAGCUGGUUCAUCUUCAUCACCUAACAAUGAGGUGGUGUCUUAUGGGAAUGGGAAAGAAGCAGAGUUAGAAGAGAAGAGGGGUGUGCCAUCGGGAGCUAAUCCUCUCUAUAAUCACCGGUAGAAGCUAAUUAUUAUCUGAUCGGGACCACACAGACUUCAAAAAAGAAACUAAAGGAAUCUAUCUAUCUAUAUGUCUACUAUUCAUUUUAAUUAAUAGGAUGUUGUUAUUAUCUGAGAACAUGCCAAAAAAGUAUCCCCGUAUAUAAAACUUUGAUUGAUCUGACAUGUUUGUGCAUGAGCUGUCUCUUGGUUUGGUGACACCUCCUAAUGGAUGCCCUACAUUGCAUGCCUAUGCCUAUCAUCAUCAAUUAUUAUUUAUUUACUAAUUAAGCUAUAGCUAGCUGUUUCUUCCAUCUACACCAUUUCACUCAUUUUAGUUUAUUAGCUUUUGGAAUGCUUUAAAUGGUGCUAUUAACUUCUAGUUAGUUACAUAUUAUUUGAAUUAACAGCUACAGAGAUCCGUAACUGAUCAAUAAUUGGGGGUUAUAGUCUUGCAAAUUUUGAAAUGCUGUGAACAUGACAAUAUACACAUAUAGCUGAUAAACUUGGCGCAAAAAAAAUGGCAAUUAGAGCAGCAUUUGCAGAAUUCUUCUCAAUGCUUAUUUUUGUUUUUGCGUCUAUUACAUAUAAUCUCUCAUCAA